GACGAACGCUGGCGGCGUGCUUAACACAUGCAAGUCGAACGGAAAGGCCCUGCUUUUGUGGGGUGCUCGAGUGGCGAACGGGUGAGUAACACGUGAGUAACCUGCCCUUGACUUUGGGAUAACUUCAGGAAACUGGGGCUAAUACCGGAUAGGAGCUCCUGCUGCAUGGUGGGGGUUGGAAAGUUUCGGCGGUUGGGGAUGGACUCGCGGCUUAUCAGCUUGUUGGUGGGGUAGUGGCUUACGAAGGUUUUGACGGGUAGCCGGCCUGAGAGGGUGACCGGCCACAUUGGGACUGAGAUACGGCCCAGACUCCUACGGGAGGCAGCAGUGGGGAAUAUUGCACAAUGGGCGGAAGCCUGAUGCAGCAACGCCGCGUGCGGGAUGACGGCCUUCGGGUUGUAAACCGCUUUCGCCUGUGACGAAGCGUGAGUGACGGUAAUGGGUAAAGAAGCACCGGCUAACUACGUG
rnacentral:rRNA from 1 species